rnacentral:rRNA from 1 species
UUUCGCGGCCUAUCAGCUUGUUGGUGGGCUAACGGCCUACCAAGGCGAUUACGGGUAGCCGGCCUGAGAGGGCGACCGGCCACACUGGGACUGAGACACGGCCCAGACUCCUGCGGGAGGCAGCAGUGGGGAAUAUUGCGCAAUGGGCGAAAGCCUGACGCAGCGACGCCGCGUGGGGGAUGACGGCCUUCGGGUUGUAAACCUCUUUUACCACUCACGCAGGCUCCGGGUUUUCUCGGGGUUGACGGUAGGUGGGGAAUAAGGACCGGCUAACUACGUGCCAGCAGCCGCGGUAAUACGUAGGGUCCGAGCGUUGUCCGGAAUUAUUGGGCGUAAAGAGCUCGUAGGCGGCGUGUCGCGUCUGCUGUGAAAGACCGGGGCUUAACUCCGGUUCUGCAGUGGAUACGGGCAUGCUAGAGGUAGGUAGGGGAGACUGGAAUUCCUGGUGUAGCGGUGAAAUGCGCAGAUAUCAGGAGGAACACCGGUGGCGAAGGCGGGUCUCUGGGCCUUACCUGACGCUGAGGAGCGAAAGCAUGGGGAGCGAACAGGAUUAGAUACCCUGGUAGUCCAUGCCGUAAACGUUGGGCGCUAGGUGUGGGGACUUUCCACGGUUUCCGCGCCGUA